CCUACGGGGGGCAGCAGUGGGGGAUAUUGCACAAUGGGGGAAACCCUGAUGCAGCGACGCCGCGUGGGUGAAGAAGUAUUUCGGUAUGUAAAGUCCUAUCAGCAGGGAAGAAAGAAGACGGUACCUGACUAAGAAGCCCCGGCUAACUACGUGCCAGCAGCCGCGGUAAUACGUAGGGGGCGAGCGUUAUCCGGAUUCACUGGGUGUAAAGGGAGCGUAGACGGCCGUGCAAGCCAGGAGUGAAAGCCCGGGGCCCAACCCCGGGACUGCUCUUGGAACUGUGCGGCUGGAGUGCGGGAGGGGCAGGCGGAAUUCCUGGUGUAGCGGUGAAAUGCGUAGAUAUCAGGAGGAACACCGGCGGCGAAGGCGGCCUGCUGGACCGCGACUGACGUUGAGGCUCGAAAGCGUGGGGAGCGAACAGGAUUAGAUACCCCUGUAGUC
rnacentral:rRNA from 1 species